rnacentral:snRNA from 1 species
CAGGGUGAGGCCCUUCCAUUGCACUUAGGUUGGGUUGACCCCUGCGAGUAUUCCAAAUGUGAAUACCUCGGGCGCGUAUUUUUGGUAGCGGGGAUUGCGUACGCGCACAUCCCUA